ncrna:unclassified sequences RAGATH-33 RNA
GCUAACGGCAGUUUAUCAGACGGGUCGGGAUUAGCAAAGAAAGGCUAAUAGGCAUUACAGCGGUAGGUAACAAAUCCGUAAGUCGAAAUGAGUUGGGAAAACCAAAUGAUACG